GAUGAACGCUGGCGGCGUGCCUAAUACAUGCAAGUCGAGCGAACAGACGAGGAGCUUGCUCCUCUGACGUUAGCGGCGGACGGGUGAGUAACACGUGGAUGACCUACCUAUAAGACUGGGAUAACUUCGGGAAACCGGAGCUAAUACCGGAUAAUAUAUUGAACCGCAUGGUUCAAUAGUGAAAGACGGUUUUGCUGUCACUUAUAGAUGGAUCCGCGCCGCAUUAGCUAGUUGGUAAGGUAACGGCUUACCAAGGCAACGAUGCGUAGCCGACCUGAGAGGGUGAUCGGCCACACUGGAACUGAGACACGGUCCAGACUCCUACGGGAGGCAGCAGUAGGGAAUCUUCCGCAAUGGGCGAAAGCCUGACGGAGCAACGCCGCGUGAGUGAUGAAGGUCUUCGGAUCGUAAAACUCUGUUAUUAGGGAAGAACAAAUGUGUAAGUAACUAUGCACGUCUUGACGGUACCUAAUCAGAAAGCCACGGCUAACUACGUG
rnacentral:rRNA from 1 species